rnacentral:rRNA from 1 species
UAAUACAGAGAGUGCGAACGUUGUUCGGAAUUACUGGGCUUAAAGCGCACGUAGGCGGCGCCGCAAGUGCGGGGUGAAAUCCCACGGCUUACCCGUGGAACUGCCUUGCAGACUGUGGUGCUCGAGGAUGGUAGGGGAGAGCGGAACUCCUGGUGGAGCGGUGAAAUGCGUAGAUAUCAGGAGGAACACCGGUGGCGAAGGCGGCUCUCUGGUCCAUGACUGACGCUGAGGUGCGAAAGCUAGGGGAGCAAACGGGAUUAGAUACCCCGGUAGUCCUAGCUGUAAACGAUGGGCACUAGCUUGGGGUCUCCCUGUGUGAUCCCAGGUGAAGCAAAAGUGAUAAGUGCCCCGCCUGGGGAGUAUGGUCGCAAGGCUG